rnacentral:rRNA from 1 species
AACGAACGCUGGCGGCAGGCCUAACACAUGCAAGUCGAACGCUCUAGCAAUAGAGAGUGGCGCACGGGUGCGUAACGCGUGGGAAUAUGCCCUUGACUACGGAACAACAUCGGGAAACUGAUGCUAUUACCGUAUAAUGUCUUCGGACCAAAGAUUUAUCGGUCAAGGAUUAGCCCGCGUCUGAUUAGCUAGUUGGUGAGGUAAUGGCUCACCAAGGCGACGAUCAGUAGCUGGUCUGAGAGGAUGAUCAGCCACACUGGGACUGAGACACGGCCCAGACUCCUACGGGAGGCAGCAGUGAGGAAUAUUGGACAAUGGGCGCAAGCCUGAUCCAGCCAUGCCGCGUGAGUGAUGAAGGCCUUCGGGUUGUAACGCUCUUUCUAGAUGCGAAGAUAAUGACGGUAACAUCAGAAGAAG